AUUGAACGCUGGCGGCAGGCUUAACACAUGCAAGUCGAGCGGGGUGAUGGUGCUUGCACUAUCACUUAGCGGCGGACGGGUGAGUAAUGCUUAGGAAUCUGCCUAUUAGUGGGGGACAACAUCUCGAAAGGGAUGCUAAUACCGCAUACGUCCUACGGGAGAAAGCAGGGGAUCACUUGUGACCUUGCGCUAAUAGAUGAGCCUAAGUCGGAUUAGCUAGUUGGUGGGGUAAAGGCCUACCAAGGCGACGAUCUGUAGCGGGUCUGAGAGGAUGAUCCGCCACACUGGGACUUAGACACGGCCCAGACUCCUACGGGAGGCAGCAGUGGGGAAUAUUGGACAAUGGGGGGAACCUUGAUCCAGCCAUGUCGCGUGUGUGAAGAAGGCCUUAUGGUUGUAAAGCACUUUAAGCGAGGAGGAGGCUCUUUUGGUUAAUACCCAAGAUGAGUGUACGUUACUCGCAGAAUAAGCACCGGCUAACUCUGUGCCAGCCGCCGCAGUAA
rnacentral:rRNA from 1 species